rnacentral:sRNA from 1 species
UCGGUCAGGCGCCGGUCAGGUCGACUCAUCACCCGGAAGCGAAAAUCAGUGUAUCCGCAGCACUCCGUCAUGAACAACACAAAGUGGGACGAACUGCGUCUGGCGAUGCAUGCGCUUGAUCGGCGACCGCUCU